ensembl:lncRNA
GAUCAUUCCUCCUGUCCAGUGUCUCCGGAGAGCGAGCAGUUUGCGUUUUCCCCAGCCGUCCUCCGACCAGGUGGAGUCCUCCUUCUCCUUUCUCGUGUGGAGCAAAGUUGGAGCUGCGUCAUUGCGCCACCACAAAACGUGUGUACGUCACUGCGUACGUAGCCGUUCAACAGCGUUCACGCCGUACGGAAACCCACACAACAACAAUGGAGGGCUUCUUUGGAGUGGUGUACGUGGCUUUGCGAGUGUGUCUCGCCAUCGCUGAACAGCAAAACCUUCUGUUAGGGGUUACUCAUCGGCGUCGCCGUUCCAAUGCCCGGCGUUCACGUUUGAGAAGAAAGAUGUUUUUAGAUGUCACCCCGCCUUCUGCCCGUGACAUGCUCGGCUCUCAACUCUGGCCACCUCUGGCCCAGCAACGAGUUGGUGCCCGAAACGGCCCCAGUUUUUGGAGCCCGGAGCCGCAGCUCCGGUGGUCGAAACACAAAAAACCGGCGCCAAGUCGGGCGCCGGCUCCAACUCCGAACGGGCUCCACCCCGGUCGAAAAGGAGGGGGAAGCAGCUGAAGGCAGAACUUGUCCUAUUUAAAGGAUUCGUAGCAAAGUGAAUGAGGUAGCGAUGGCUCUCAGAAAGAAGCUGGGUUUUUUUUUUUGUUUUUUUUGUUUUUUUUUUUAAAGGGAAAAAAAAUAUUAUUUUUUUCGGCUUCAUUUAGGCAUAGUGAGAGAGACGGGAAACGGGGGGAAAAGAGUUGGGGAACACAUGCAGC